UUUAUUUUAUUGAUGAAAGUCAGUGCACUGGGAAAGGAGUGGAAUGUGUGGGGUCUAGGGCUCAUCAUUAUUUGCAGUUCUGUGGCAUAGGAGAAAAACAUGCACAGAUACAUUACCAUAAUGCAGCUGGGCAGAACAAAAGCAACUAUGUCAUUUGGUAUGCAGUUAUGGAGCACUUUAAUAGGACUACAUGAGUUUGUUGCAAGGAGUAUUUUGGUGACAGGGCACAGGAAACUCAACCAAUAUUAGCAUUUUGAUGUAUGGAAAGUGAAGUGGAGAGAUUCUGAUGCAUAAACUGUGACCCAAAUGGCUGACCUGUGAGACAGUCAUCAAAAGGGGGUCACAAUGUUCCACAAGUAGUUGAUAAUCCUGAAAAACCUGUUGUUUAUUUACAGCUUGAGGCAAUUUCUUGAACAGUAUUUUAAACCAGUUAAACAGUUGUCUAAAUUCCAACAUUUCUUUGUCAGUUCAGUUGAACCGGAUGUUGUAUGUUGCAAAGACUAUUUUAAUUCUGAAGAAGUUAAAGCAACUACACUGAAGCAAGUGCCCGAUAAAAAUGCUAUGCUUGUAGUAAAACAUUUUAGGUUUGAAUGUGGCCCGUCAGUGGUAUUUGUCUUAACAUUUUUGAGAUUGCUUCUUAACACACUGUUUUGAUUUUCUGUCCAUAUUAUUCAGUUCUUUUUCAAGUUCGUUUAUUUUGUAGAUGUCGAGCAUAGACUGAUAUACUAAUAAUGCUAUGGAAAUGGUGAAAUAUUUUAUAUGUGCUAGGCAACAGAACAUAGCUUGUAAUUUUUUGUGGAUAUUGUUUUGCUUUAAUUCGUUAGAUUCUGAACACUCACUUAUAUGAAAAUACUAUGUUGCUUAGGGUUUUUAAAAAGAUGAUUUAACCAUCAUAACUGUGAUUCGAAGUCACUGUAAAAUUCCGUUUGCAAAAUGCAAUUUUACGCAAUGUUAUUUUCUUUUUUUUAUCUUUUUGUUGUUAAAGAACAGUUAUUUUGCCUUAAAAAUACCUUCUUAUUUUAGAUAGAAAUCUUUAAUGAUAGUUCUUUGGUUGAUAGUUCUUUGUUUCAAUGCAUAUUUUACAACCAAAUUUUUAACAGCACGCCUUCAUUUUAAAUUAAUGUCAGUAUGCUAGCAAUAUUCUGUAGAGAUUUGUAAUUGAAGUAAAAUUUUGAAAAGGGACUUUCCUGUCAGAUGUCUGUAUAUCUUCAAAAGUUUUCAAUAGAAUGACUUGAAUUUUUCAAGACUGUCUGUUUAUAAGUUUUGUUUACAUUUUCAUUUGAUCUUUAAAUGAAUGCAAAUGUUUAAGUCAACUUAUAAGUCUUAAAACCUAAAAAAAACAUGGAAAUUGUGAAAAAUUCCAUUGUUGCUAAGCAACAGAAAUAUUGAGGUCGCUGUUUUGUAACUAUAUUUGAGCUUUAUUGUCAUAGUUUUAUUUCAUAUAGCCAUAUUUGCAAUGAAAGCACACUGUUAAGGGCUUGUGAAACACUGAAAAUUAGUAUUACUAGGUGCAGGAAAUUUUGUAAAAAGAGCCUGUUUGCAGAUGAAAUAUUUUGCACAUUGUCUAAUGACGUUCUGUUUGCUGGAAGUUUUCUUUAUUGUGCUAUGAGAGAAAAUCAAGAUAGUAUAGCAGGAUUAACUGAUCCAACUUUUUUGUCACGCCGCAUUGCUUAUAAAGGUCAUACAGUUUACCACACAUAUAAAGAAAUAAUAACAGGAUUGAUGGACAAAAGCUCUCCAACAGAUUGCAAAGGUGAAUCUGAAAGUAUGGAAGUGGCAUUUAACAGAGCUUUUAGACUUGUUAAGAAUUUAAUUGUUGUUUUCAAAGAAAUGUCCCUAGCCAUUCAUUUUCAUGAGUCCGAGUUUUAUGUGUUUGACAGCCAUUCUCGUAAUGAUGAAGGAAUGAUGUGUCCUGAUGGUAAAUGUGUGC
rnacentral:lncRNA from 1 species